AAUGAUACGGUAAAGCCAACGGAUGAGAUCAUGUAGCAAUACAAUGGUCUUAAAAGUUGUUUAAAUCUCAUUGUUUAGAGGAAGGAGAAGUCGUAACAAGGUAUCCGUAGUGAACCUGCGGAUGGAUCAUUUU
rnacentral:rRNA from 1 species